rnacentral:rRNA from 1 species
AUUGAACGCUGGCGGCAGGCCUAACACAUGCAAGUCGAACGGUAACAGGAAGCAGCUUGCUGCUUUGCUGACGAGUGGCGGACGGGUGAGUAAUGUCUGGGAAACUGCCCGAUGGAGGGGGAUAACUACUGGAAACGGUAGCUAAUACCGCAUAACGUCGCAAGACCAAAGAGGGGGACCUUAGGGCCUCUUGCCAUCGGAUGUGCCCAGAUGGGAUUAGCUAGUAGGGGGGGUAACGGCUCACCUAGGCGACGAUCCCUAGCUGGUCUGAGAGGAUGACAGGCCACACUGGAACGGAGACACGGUCCAGACUCCUACGGGAGGCAGCAGUGGGGAAUAUUGCACAAUGGGCGCAAGCCUGAUGCAGCCAUGCCGCGUGUAUGAAGAAGGCCUUCGGGUUGUAAAGUACUUUCAGCGGGGAGGAAGGGAGUAAAGUUAAUACCUUUGCUCAUUGACGUUACCCGCAGAAGAAGCACCGGCUAACUCCGUG